GUAGUACUCCCUCCGUCCGGAAAUACUUGUCAUCAAAAUGAAUAAAAGGGGAUGUAUCUAGAUGUAUACUAGUUCUAGAUACAUCUUUUUAUCCAUUUUGAUGACAAGUAUUUUUGGACGGAGGGAGUACUCG
rfam:Triticum urartu cultivar G1812 contig803271, whole genome shotgun sequence.